rnacentral:sRNA from 1 species
CUCUAGCCCCGAUUGCAGUGGAAAUCCCACGCUUUUGGGGCGUGGAUUGAAACGAAAAGCGGGAGUGAAG